rnacentral:tRNA from 1 species
ACUAAUUUGGCAGAAUUAAGUGCAUUAAGUUUAGAAUUUAAUUAUGUUAUUUUAUAACAAUUAGUAU